rnacentral:rRNA from 1 species
UGAGGAAUAUUGCGCAAUGGGGGAAACCCUGACGCAGUGACGCCGCGUGAGUGAUGAAGGCUUUCGAGUUGUAAAGCUCUGUUAGGUGGAAAGAAACACUUCAGCGCUAAUACCGCUGAGGCUUGACGGUACCACCAGAGGAAGCACCGGCUAACUCCGUGCCAGCAGCCGCGGUAAUACGGAGGGUGCAAGCGUUGUUCGGAUUUACUGGGCGUAAAGGGCGUGUAGGCGGUUGGCUAAGUCAGAUGUGAAAGCCCUUGGCUUAACCAAGGAAGUGCAUUUGAAACUAGCUGACUAGAGUACAGGAGAGGAAAGUGGAAUUCCCAGUGUAGAGGUGAAAUUCAUAGAUAUUGGGAGGAACACCGGUAGCGAAGGCGGCUUUCUGGUCUGAUACUGACGCUGAGACGCGAAAGCGUGGGGAGCAAACAGG